rnacentral:rRNA from 1 species
GCUUACGGCCAUACCGCCAUAGGCACGCCCGAUCUCGUCUGAUCUCGGAAGCUAAGCAGGGUCGGGCCUGGUUAGUACUUGGAUGGGUGACCGCCUGGGAAUACCAGGUGCUGUAAGCA